GCACUCCUGAGGAGUCCCAUACUAGGACGAAACGGCCGUCCAGUGA
rnacentral:hammerhead_ribozyme from 1 species